AAGACAAUGAUGCUAUAUACAAUAACGGAUCAAAGUGUUUAAUGUAGACUUUACACCAGUUACAUGCUUUGUACCUAAAUUCAUCCAUUACCAUAUCUGAAUCACACGAUUUGUCCCUGAAUAUAAUGGCAUUCUUGUGGUUCCAUACUGUCCACGUUGCCCACCACAGACUUCUGUUUGUUAUUUCUCAACCUCCCUGCAUGUUGCCAUAGAUGACUUCUUCUGCAAUCUGCAUGAAGAACCCUCUCUUCUCCCAGCCAUUUGUAACCCUUCAUCCACAUAGGAGCUCCCCAAGACAAGAUAAACCCCAGGCUUGCUGUGAACCCAAGGCAAAUAUGAAUCAUUAGCAAAUGAUAUCCGAAUUACAAAUGCUGCUGCUUUUUCCACCUUUGCCACAUUGAAAAUAUGAAAAUAAAAAACAAAAAGGAGGCCCAUAGUCUGUCUCAAUUUUAUUAUUGACCAUCAUUUGACAGUUUAGCUUCUUUGCAAGUUGAACACUCUGAACUAAUAAAAGGCCACCAUGCUCUAUAUUCAAGCAAUUUAGCAGGAUUUUCAAGAAAGGAACUAUGAAUAUUCAGGUCCACUUCUCCAGCUAAUUCAGCUGUCAAUCAAUUAUACAUGACCUCUUAACUACCCUUCCCUGAGAUCUUUAUACAGUUCAUACUUAUCAAAAGCUAGACAAGUGGUGACUUGAAGUAUUUCUUUAUUCCUAAAUAAGAAGGAUGGUAAAUGCAAUAAUGCUGCUUCUUAAUACUAUCACAAGUUGAAGUCUGAAGUCUGAAAAUGUUUGGUUUUAUUUUAUAUUGUAUGCAAAUUAAAAAUAAAUAAAUUCAUCCAAAUUUGAAGGAU